rnacentral:rRNA from 1 species
CGUAGGGUGCGAGCGUUAAUCGGAAUUACUGGGCGUAAAGCGUGCGCAGGCGGUUAUGUAAGACAGAUGUGAAAUCCCCGGGCUCAACCUGGGAACUGCAUUUGUGACUGCAUGGCUAGAGUACGGUAGAGGGGGGAUGGAAUUCCGCGUGUAGCAGUGAAAUGCGUAGAUAUGCGGAGGAACACCGAUGGCGAAGGCAAUCCCCUGGACCUGUACUGACGCUCAUGCACGAAAGCGUGGGGAGCAAACAGGAUUAGAUACCCUGGUAGUCCACGCCCUAAACGAUGUCAACUGGUUGUUGGGAAUUAGUUUUCUCAGUAACGAAGCUAACGCGUGAAGUUGACCGCCUGGGGAGUACGGCCGCAAGGUUG